UUACUCUUUCUAGUUCUCUUUGUUUGUUAGGGUUAUUUCCCAUUUCUCAAUGACAGAAGUUAUCACGUGGCUACAUCCUCUUCAUGUAGUAGCAAGGGUGUGAGUGAGUGAUAAUUGCUAACUAUUUACUUUUCAGAAUCGGGAAAACCAAAAUGCCAAGUUGUUUAACACAACAUUUCAUAUGCAGUCAACAAAUCAACAAAUUUUUCAAACCUCCCACUGCCGUCGCCGACGAUGACGAUGAUUUGCUCAACUGGAACUGGGAGAACAACCAACACCCUAUUAUCAACACUUACACCCGAAUUCAUCGAAACCCUAAUCCAAUUCCUUCACCUCACACCAUAAUAUAAAAACCACUAGUAGUCAAGAACAAGAAGAGAAGCUACGUUCAGUUCCAUUUGGAAUUAGGUCAAUCCGGUUUUUAUUACGCGUGCACUCCACCUGUGCUAUUGAGUUUACUCCCGGAGAUGUCGAAGACGAGAAAUUACACGCUCAAUUUCACUAAAUUUAUGCGCAAGGAAUCCAAUUUAGAGAUUGGAAUAAUGAAAGGGUUGUUUAUUAUGAUAAAUGUUGGAUAAUGAUCCAUCUUUCCACAGAAUAAACAAGGUUCAUGAAGUUGUGAAGAUGAUGGGAAGUGGAUGGAUAACGAAUCAACAUUGUAAGGUGGAUAAUGUUAAACAUCACCUCAAAAAACUUACUUGCAAUCUUAUUCUAGUAACAGGUGAAAUUUGAGACAGGUUCUUAUUCUAGUAACAGAAUUUGUAAUCUUCAAUCUUUAUUCAAAGGAAAAUCUAGUCAUUAUACAACAGGAACUUCUGUAAUAUCUUGUGAUACGUUAUCCGAAGAAAAGCCUAAAGAGAAUUCUGUUUCUGAUAUGUUGGUUGAUUCAUUUGGAAGGAUUCAUACUUACUUGAGAAUAUCAUUAACAGAGAGAUGUAAUUUAAGGUGUAAGUAUUUUAUGCCAGCUGAAGGUCUGGAGUUAACUCCUACUGAUCAGGUGUAAGUAUUUUAGAAAUUUGUAAGACAACUUAUAUUUAGGUGUUUAUGUCUUGUUUGCUUAAGACUAGAGUAUAUGACCUAUAGUUCUAUGAAACAAAAAUACGACACUUGUUAUAUAAGUGUCAUAUGGGUGUCGGGCACCGAUUUUAAAGAGUGUCGAACCAAAGAAAAUAAAUCGUUUCUUUGGGGACACCUAUUUGACUUUUCUAACAAUUGUUGAAUGGAGUGGAGAAAGCACAACAUAUUGAAUGGAGUAAGAUCCAGUUGUUUUGUUUUGUAUUUAUUGAACUGGUUAAUAAACACUUGUUUGAAUAUGGUUUUGUAAAAUUUAGUGAAUACAUGGAUUGAGCUUUAAGAUGAACUUCCUGAACA